CCCUGUUUGUUCAUUCCAUACAUUUCGCCGGUGAACAGCUCGCUGUAGUUCCAGAUCAUGACGAUGUCGGUGUUUGUGUGCGCGUUGGCAUUGAUGACCUUUGUCAAUGUUACUACUGCUGCCAUGUCUCCCCAAACAGGAAGCGACCUGCGUACUUUCUUGAAAACACUUGCACCUGUGUAUGCCAGAUAUGUUCUUUGCUCCUUGUGCGGUGCGCGGUACAAUAUGUCCAAAAGCCAAUGUGACGAUGCUUUCAGGAAGACAGCAAACCAGUGGAGCGAAAGGUUCUCGUAUUGGUUCACACCUAGUAAGCGGACAGACGCCAUACGCAAGGCUCUCACGGUGAAAUACAGGACUAAGCCAGGGGAUUGGUGCGACCGGAAGUGGGUCAAGAAAUAUUUCUGAACGAGAUGAUUGCAUUUGUACAUCUUGGUUAACAAUAAAUGCAGAUUGAAAAA
rnacentral:lncRNA from 1 species